rnacentral:tRNA from 1 species
GGGCCUAUAGCUCAGCUGGGAGAGCGCCUGCAUGGCAUGCAGGAGGUCAACGGUUCGAUCCCGUUUAGGUCCACCA